AUACAUACCUGGCAGGGGAGAUACCAUGACCACUAAGGUGGUUCUUCCAGGAAGAGGCUACCCAUUGCACUUUGGGUGUGCUGAUGUCUGUGGCAUCCCCAAACAGGGGAUACUCAACUGCAAAAUUUGUGAUAGUUCAGGACUGCGUUUGCGCCAGAA